rfam:Mesorhizobium sp. LSHC420B00 scaffold0031, whole genome shotgun sequence.
CAGGCAUGCUGGAGCCCCGCCAGCGGCGCCUGGGUUCAAAAGGACCUGACACCGGACGGGGCAGAA